rnacentral:rRNA from 1 species
CAAUAGCGUAUAUUAAAGUUGUUGCAGUUAAAAAGCUCGUAGUUGGAUUUCUGGUGGGAGCGAUCGGUCUGGCGCUUAGCGCGAGUACUUGCAUCGUCUCCGGCCAUCCCUGGGGAGAGUCUGUCUGGCAUUAGGUUGUCGGGCAGAGGAUCCUCAUCGUUUACUGUGAAAAAAUUAGAGUGUUCAAAGCAGGCUUAUGCCGUUGAAUAUAUUAGCAUGGAAUAAUAAGAUAGGACUUUGGUACUAUUUUGUUGGUUUGCGCACCAAAGUAAUGAUUAAUAGGGACAGUUGGGGGUAUUCGUAUUCCGUUGUCAGAGGUGAAAUUCUUGGAUUUACGGAAGACGAACUACUGCGAAAGCAUUUACCAAGGAUGUUUUCAUUAA